CGGCUUUUGGGGAGUGUAAGUAGCUCCCCGAAUAAGCGGUGGGCAAGAGGGGUGGCAGCCGCCGCGGGAACACCCCCACCGCGAGCGGUGGCCGUGAUUAUUGGGCCUAAAGGGGCCGUAGCCGGGCCGGUGUGGCUCCGGUGAAAUCCUCGGGCUCAACCCGAGGGCGCGCCGGAGCUACUACCGGCCUAGGGACCGGGAGGGGCCGACCGUACUCCCGGGGGAGCGGUGAAAUGCUGUAAUCCCGGGAGGACGACCCGUGGCGAAAGCGGUCGGCCAGAACGGGUCCGACGGUGAGGGCCGAAGGCCGGGGGCUAGAACGGGAUUAGAGACCCCGGUAUUCCCGGCUGUCAACGCUGCGGGCUACCUGCUGGGCGGGCUACGAGCCCGCCCAGUGGGGUAGGGAAGCCGUUAAGCCCGCCGCCUGGGGAGUACGGCCGCAAGGCUGAAACUUAAAGGAAUAGGCGGGGGAGCACACAAGAGGUGGGGUGCGCGGUUUAAUUGGAUUCGACGCCGGGAACCUCACCGGGGCUGACAGCACAAUGAUGGUCGGCCUGAAGGGCCUACCGGAGGCGCUGAGAGGAGGUGCAUGGCCGCCGUCAGCCUGUGCCGUGAGGUGCCCUGUUAAGUCAGGAAACAGGCGAGACCCGCGCCCGCAGUUGC
rnacentral:rRNA from 1 species